rnacentral:tRNA from 1 species
GCGCAGGUGGCGGAACUGGCAGACGCGCCAGGUUGAGGGCCUGGUGGGGGUCAAACCCCGUGCGGGUUCGAAUCCCGCCCUGCGCACCA